rnacentral:rRNA from 1 species
UGCAAGUUGAACGGUUGUAGCAAUACAACGAGUAGCGGACGGGUGAGUAAUGUAUGGGAACAUGUCCUUUAGUGGGGAAUAGCUUUUGGAAACGAAUGGUAAUACCGCAUAACGUCAUGGGACCGCAUGAUCCUAUGAACCAAAGGAGCAAUCCGCUGAGAGAUGGACUCGCGUCCGAUUAGCUAGUUGGAGAGGUAACGGCUCCCCAAGGCGACGAUCGGUAGCCGGACUGAGAGGUUGACCGGCCACAUUGGGACUGAGAUACGGCCCAGACUCCUACGGGAGGCAGCAGGUGGGGAAUAUUGGGCAAUGGACGCAAGUCUGACCCAGCAACGCCGCGUGAAGGAAGAAGGCUUUCGGGUUGUAAACUUUCUUUAAGGGGGAAGAGUAGAAGACGGUACCCCUUGAAUAAGCCACGGCUAACUACGUG